AAAAAGAAACGGGCACAUUACUCUGUCUGCGCCUCGGACACGGCCGUGGCGGCGGAUGCGGCGAGCGGACGGGAGGGGCCAGAGCGGGCGAGGCGGCGGGGAGGAGGCGGGGGCGGAUGGGCGGCGCUGGAGAGGCAUCGAGGAGCCGCGCACGGGGAAGGAGCAAGGGGCGCGGGGGAGUAGCGGCGGCGGAGGAGGAAGGCGCGGCGGUGGCUGAGGCCCCGGCCGAGGCGGAGCGCGGCGGCGGCGGUGAGCGGCGCCGCCAUGGCGAGGUUGGGUUUUGGAUGUGGUGGAGAGGAGAGGAGAGGGGGUAGGGAUUUACUCGGAUAACCCUAUGGGGUCAGGAUGGCCGUCGGAUCGAAGAUCAGCGGCCAGGAAAAA
rnacentral:sRNA from 1 species